rnacentral:lncRNA from 1 species
GGGACCUGUAACCCAGGGGAGAGGUGUGUGCAGAGCCAGUUUCUCCAGGAAACCGGGAGCAGAAGGGCAAGGGAAGCCCAAACUCCUCCCCUUUGCCAGUUCAGAGAACACGAAACGUACCCUGGAGGCCCAUGCCUUCCCACACACUCUCUGAGUGAACACUAUCCACAGACGUGCUGAGGUGUGCCAUGGCCUGUGAACAGCUGGGAAACGGCUUUCCAGACAUGCAC